CCUGGAAACAGAUGCUAAUACCGGAUAACAACAGAUGAUGCCUAUCAACUGUUUAAAAGAUGGUUCUGCUAUCACUCUUGGAUGGACCUGCGGUGCAUUAGCUAGUUGGUAGGGUAACGGCCUACCAAGGCGAUGAUGCAUAGCCGAGUUGAGAGACUGAUCGGCCACAUUGGGACUGAGACACGGCCCAAACUCCUACGGGAGGCAGCAGGC
rnacentral:rRNA from 1 species